rnacentral:rRNA from 1 species
GCAGCCAUCAUUUAAAGAAAGCGUAAUAGCUCACUGGUCGAGUCGGCCUGCGCGGAAGAUGUAACGGGGCUAAACCAUGCACCGAAGCUGCGGCAGCGACACUGUGUGUUGUUGGGUAGGGGAGCGUUCUGUAAGCCUGUGAAGGUGUGUCGUGAGGCAUGCUGGAGGUAUCAGAAGUGCGAAUGCUGACAUAAGUAACGAUAAAGCGGGUGAAAAGCCCGCUCGCCGGAAGACCAAGGGUUCCUGUCCAACGUUAAUCGGGGCAGGGUGAGUCGACCCCUAAGGCGAGGCCGAAAGGCGUAGUCGAUGGGAAACGGGUUAAUAUUCCCGUACUUGGUGUUACUGCGAAGGGGGGACGGAGAAGGCUAUGUUGGCCGGGCGACGGUUGUCCCGGUUUAAGCGUGUAGGUGUGUGUUCCAGGUAAAUCCGGUUCACUUUAACACUGAGGCGUGAUGACGAGGCACUACGGUGCUGAAGCAACAAAUGCCCUGCUUCCAGGAAAAGCCUCUAAGCAUCAGGUAACAUCAAAUCGUACCCCAAACCGACACAGGUGGUCAGGUAGAGAAUACCAAGGCGCUUGAGAGAACUCGGGUGAAGGAACUAGGCAAAAUGGUGCCGUAACUUCGGGAGAAGGCACGCUGACACGUAGGUGAAGUGAUUUACUCACGGAGCUGAAGUCAGUCGAAGAUACCAGCUGGCUGCAACUGUUUAUUAAAAACACAGCACUGUGCAAACACGAAAGUGGACGUAUACGGUGUGACGCCUGCCCGGUGCCGGAAGGUUAAUUGAUGGGGUCAGCGCAAGCGAAGCUCCUGAUCGAAGCCCCGGUAAACGGCGGCCGUAACUAUAACGGUCCUAAGGUAGCGAAAUUCCUUGUCGGGUAAGUUCCGACCUGCACGAAUGGCGUAAUGAUGGCCAGGCUGUCUCCACCCGAGACUCAGUGAAAUUGAACUCGCUGUGAAGAUGCAGUGUACCCGCGGCAAGACGGAAAGACCCCGUGAACCUUUACUAUAGCUUGACACUGAACAUUGAGCCUUGAUGUGUAGGAUAGGUGGGAGGCUUUGAAGUGUGGACGCCAGUCUGCAUGGAGCCGACCUUGAAAUACCACCCUUUAAUGUUUGAUGUUCUAACGUGGACCCGUUACCCGGGUUGCGGACAGUGUCUGGUGGGUAGUUUGACUGGGGCGGUCUCCUCCUAAAGAGUAACGGAGGAGCACGAAGGUUGGCUAAUCCUGGUCGGACAUCAGGAGGUUAGUGCAAUGGCAUAAGCCAGCUUGACUGCGAGCGUGACGGCGCGAGCAGGUGCGAAAGCAGGUCAUAGUGAUCCGGUGGUUCUGAAUGGAAGGGCCAUCGCUCAACGGAUAAAAGGUACUCCGGGGAUAACAGGCUGAUACCGCCCAAGAGUUCAUAUCGACGGCGGUGUUUGGCACCUCGAUGUCGGCUCAUCACAUCCUGGGGCUGAAGUAGGUCCCAAGGGUAUGGCUGUUCGCCAUUUAAAGUGGUACGCGAGCUGGGUUUAGAACGUCGUGAGACAGUUCGGUCCCUAUCUGCCGUGGGCGCUGGAGAACUGAGGGGGGCUGCUCCUAGUACGAGAGGACCGGAGUGGACGCAUCACUGGUGUUCGG